GAUGAAGAACGUAGCGAAAUGCGAUAAGUAAUGUGAAUUGCAGAAUUCAGUGAAUCAUCGAAUCUUUGAACGCACAUUGCGCCCUCCGGCAUUCCGGGGGGCAUGCCUGUCCGAGCGUCACGAAAACCCCAUCACACUCGUUGUGGUCAUGGCUGCAGUGAGUCGUCUCCAGCGGAGAGGGUCACGCCGCUGAAAGGAAUGGUGCGGAUGAGUUCCGAUGGCCGAACGUAGUACUUGACAACCGUCGGCCGAUGGGACCCUCCAUCUCGCACUGACGACGUACCCCCGUCGUACCCCCGAUCAGGUGGACCUCGGAUCAGGUAGGGAUACCCGCUGAACUUAAGCAUAUCAAUAAGCGGAGGA
rnacentral:misc_RNA from 1 species